GCCGACGUGGCACAAUCCGGUACUGCGCUGGCCUUGAGAGCCAGUUCCCGCAAGGGUAUCCCGGUUCAAAUCCGGGCGUCGGCG
rnacentral:tRNA from 1 species